ensembl:lncRNA novel transcript, antisense to KRT77
CCUCAGCAUCCGAAAUGAGUGACUGCAUCUGUUCAAUCUGCUCCAGAGACAGUUGGAGACCAUUUAAUGGUUAAGUUUCCAGAGCUCGAUCUGGCAGGGCAUUGUAGGAGGUGCAGGGCUUGGUCAGCCCUCCCUAAGCACCCGUCCCACCUGCUUCUUCACGUUGCUGAUCUCUGCCUGCAGCCUCUGGACGAACACUGUGCAGGACCGUGGGACAGAGGUCAGCCAGGAUUGGAGUUGGCCACAGAUCAUCCUCAAAGCCAGUCAUCAAUGCUAGUUGUUCAGAAUUUAGUGACUGGACUGUCAGCCACGCCCUUUCAACCAGAGGCUUCACCAUCCAAAAAGAUCCAGGACGACAAAGUCAUUCUCGCUGCCAGUCCUCUUGUUGAUUUCAUCCUCAUACCUGUCAGGCGAGGCAAAGGAGCACAGAAAGGCUGCAGGCUGACCUUGGCUCCCUGAGGUCCCUCCUUACAGCAGAAAGCUUGGAAUUCCCCAAACAUUUGCUGUCCUGGGUUCAGAGAACCCUGCUCAAGGUGCUGGCUGUCCAUUCCCAGAGGCUGGCACUCUCAUGGAUGAGGGCAGAGCCAACUCCUAGGUCUGUGGGCCAACAGAGGGGACCCCGGGCCAACAUGGAAAACCCAGAGCCACAGAGAAGGUCCCUGGAAUGUCUAUUUUUAUUUUGAUGUUUUACCUUUGUAAAUGUGUCAAACUCAUUCAUUCCUUAAAACUGAGAACAUGAAAUAACAACCACUUUUACUAAA